UACGGGGGGGGGCAAGCGUUGUUCGGAAUUACUGGGCGUAAAGGGCUCGUAGGUGGCCAACUAAGUCGGACGUGAAAUCCCCGGGCUCAACCCGGGAACUGCGUCCGAUACUGGCAGGCUUGAAUUCGGGAGAGGGAUGCGGAAUUCCAGGUGUAGCGGUGAAAUGCGUAGAUAUCUGGAGGAACACCGGUGGCGAAGGCGGCAUCCUGGACCGAGAUUGACGCUGAGGCGCGAAAGCCAGGGGAGCAAACGGG
rnacentral:rRNA from 1 species